UCCUACGGGAGGCAGCAGCUGAGAAUCUUCCACAAUGGACGAAAGUCUGAUGGAGCGACAUCGCGUGAGGGAUGAAGGCCUUCGGGUUGUAAACCUCGGAAAUUAUCGAAGAAUGAGUGACAGUAGAUAAUGUAAGCCUCGGCUAACUACGUGCCAGCAGCCGCGGUAAUA
rnacentral:rRNA from 1 species